rnacentral:rRNA from 1 species
AACGAACGCUGGCGGCAGGCUUAACACAUGCAAGUCGAACGCCCCGCAAGGGGAGUGGCGCACGGGUGCGUAACGCGUGGGAACAUGCCUUUAGGUACGGAACAACGUCGGGAAACUGACGCUAAUACCGUAUAAUAUCUCCGGAUCAAAGAUUUAUCGCCUAAAGAUUGGCCCGCGUUAGAUUAGGUAGUUGGUGGGGUAAUGGCCUACCAAGCCGACGAUCUAUAGCUGGUCUGAGAGGAUGAUCAGCCACACUGGAACUGAGACACGGUCCAGACUCCUACGGGAGGCAGCAGUGAGGAAUAUUGGACAAUGGGGGAAACCCUGAUCCAGCCAUGCCGCGUGAGUGAUGAAUGCCUUAGGGUUGUAAAGCUCUUUUAGAUGGGAAGAUAAUGACUGUACCAUCAGAAUAAGCCCCGGCUAAAUUCGUGCCAGCCGCCGCCGUAA